GAUGAACGCUAGCGGCAGGCUUAAUACAUGCAAGUCGAGGGGGCAGCAAUGUCACCGGCGAACGGGUGCGUAACGCGUAUGCAACCUACCUACAUCAGGGGGAUAGCCCUAGGAAACUGGGAUUAACACCGCAUAACAUAUGACAAGGCAUCUUGUUAUAUUGAAAUAUUUAUAGGAUGUAGAUGGGCAUGCGUAGGAUUAGCUAGUUGGUAAGGUAACGGCUUACCAAGGCUACGAUCCUUAGGGGCUCUGAGAGGAGUAUCCCCCACACUGGCACUGAGAUACGGGCCAGACUCCUACGGGAGGCAGCAGUAGGGAAUAUUGGGCAAUGGAGGCAACUUUGACCCAGCCAUGCCGCGUGCAGGAAGACGGUCCUCUGGAUUGUAAACUGCUUUUGAAUGGGAAGAAUGUGUGGCUUGCGAGCUAUAAUGACGGUACCAUUAGAAUAAGCCACGGCUAACUACGUGCCAGCCGCCGCAGUAACAC
rnacentral:rRNA from 1 species